UUCUACUUUUUUUCUCCCGAUGCUCUCCAUGUGCUCCUCCAUCAUCCUCUGGUCACGCACACUGUGAAAAACCAAUCAAACAAGCGGAAGAUGCCAACCGGAAGUCGCAGGGCCAAACUGGACACGAAUCGAUGAUGAUGAUGACACAAUGGCAAUCAUGGCAUAACGAACCUGAUGCUGAAUGGAAUUUUCCCAUUGGAAUGCGCUCCUUUGUCUGUGAGCUUCCAGCUCCGAUAACUACAGCUUCGAAUUCCUGCACUAAAAUUGCAUAUAUGGCCACUUUGAGUUGUUUGUAAUCCGAAUGCCCCGCAGAGUCCUUUUGCCAUAAAUUACGCACAUGUACUCGGACACUUCUGACAUCCUGCAGGCAGCAGGCAGCAGCAUCCCCAGCAGCAACAUCGUCAUCAUAAUAAAAAUGUAUAUAUGUAUGUUCUCCUCCUCCCUCGAGGUCAUACCAGUUAGUCCCAGAUCCUUGGCAGGAUUCCAUCUCAGCAUCAUCUCCAACAGCAUCCAGUUUUUACAUUCACAUCAGCGGCAGCUCAGAGCAGCUUUUCAGCAUUUGCUCAAAGUAAAUGGCUGCAAAUUGCAUUUUAAUUACAUUGUUGUGCUCCUGCGGCAUGCAGCAUGUGUGUGUGUGGCUCCGAGGUCCUUGCAACAGGACAACAUGGGACGAAGGACACUGGCAGAAACGAGAAGAGGCUAUCCCUUUGCCCAAUUAAAACGCUACUCAUCAAAUCAGAGUCCCACUUAACCUCACCUUGGACUUCAGGAGCCACGCAAUGCGGCCGCCUGAUGAGGGUGAAAAAGGAAGUGCGCCACGUGGCGUAUACGCAAUGCAAAAAAAAAAAAAAAAACGAAAAGAAAACACACACAAAACCCAGAUAGAAACAGAGACAGAGAAGGAAGGAAAAACACUCAGCGAAAUCGGUGUCAUGUUAAUGACCGAUUAGCAUGGCGUGUGUGUGCACCCGGGAGACAGGGUUGCGACAGGGUUGAACUGUGACCUGUCAGCUCCACUCGAGGCGAGCCUUCAAACGCACUUCCGGUGGCUGAAAGGCGGCGAGCAGAAGUUGCCAGUGCGGCGGGGAGUUUAAUUGAAAAAUCAGAGGCUAAAAAACUAGGCUAAAAAGGGAGAAUGGAAAAAUGGAGCAAAAAGAGAGAGGAACAAGUCUAGAAAGUUGGAUUGAAAAUUGUGGGCGUGGCUAGCCCUAUUUUCGAGGGAAUUUUCCAAACUAUUUCGGCUACGAUUUCGGUUAAAAGGAGAAGCGUAGAGGGAAACGUAGAGAGGAGAAUUUCGAACGACAAUCGACGACGAAAGGCGCCAGGAUUAAAAAGGACCAUCGACGCGUGGUCCGCUCGCGCGUUUUCCGUGCGUCUACAGCUGCUGGCGUUGUGGGCAGAACUGAACAGGACAGCCCAACGGAGGCUGAAGCUGAGGCUGAAAGUGAAAACUGGAACAGGGAAAAUCGGCAGGCGAAGCGACAGUUUACGAAUUAUCGCAGCAGCAGCAGCAGCCGGCGAGCUUUCAAAACCAUCCGCAAGGAAAAGCUGUUGCCCUGUGGCACCCAAGCUUUUUUCCACGGAAAAUGCGAAAAUCAUCGAGCAAAACAAAAUCAACGAAAGGCGAAAUAAAGCAA